AGUUAAUGAACUUGUAUAAGUAUAUAUUUUGAAAGUAUAAAAAAGAGUAUCCCAAUCUCUAUUAACUU
rnacentral:tRNA from 1 species